UGCUCUCUGAUUAGUUUAAGGGCCGCGGUAAUUUGACCGUGCAAAGGUAGCAUAAUAGUUAGUUUUUUAAUUGGGAUCUUGUAUGAAUGGUUGGACAAAAGAAAUACUGUCUCUGUAAUUUUUAUUGAAUUUAACUUUUGAGUGAAAAGGCUCAAAUUUUUUAAAAAGACGAUAAGACCCUAUAAAGCUUUAUAAGUAAGUGUUAUUAGAUUGAAUUAAUAAUAAGGUUUUAAUAAUUUAAUUAUUUUGUUGGGGAGACAAUAUUAUAAUUUUGAAUAACUGUGAGUAGUUAAUACAAGUAUAGGUGUUUAAAGUAGUAAGAGAUCCUAUUUAAAGAUUAAAAGUUUAAGUUACUUUAGGGAUAACAGCGUUAUUUUUCUUGAGAGUUCAUAUCGAAAGAAAAGAUUGCGACCUCGAUGUUGAAUUAAAAUUUCUAAGCGAUUGCAGAAGUUGCUUUAGAGGGUCUGUUCGACCUUUGAAUUUUUA
rnacentral:rRNA from 1 species